CGGGGAUGCUCGCAAUGCCUCUAUCAAAGACGCGUCGCACUGUGUUGUUAUGUGUUGUCAUAGUUAUUUCAUUGAAAAAUUAAUUUCACCGUUUCCGAAACACGCACCGAUUUCUGUCUGUGAAACACAACGUCUGAACAACUCCUCUUAAGUUUUGCCGAAAAGACUUAAAUAAUUUAGAGAAGCUAAAACACUUUCGAGCGAUCCUGAUUUCAAAAUUACGACGAGUACGAAGACGACGAUUAAGAAGAAAAAAGAGAAAAUCAAGAAAAAUACGCGAAAAAAAGCACCAAAAAAAAGAGAAGAAACAAAAUUGAAACAUAAGCAUUGCCUUAAAGAAGAAGAGUACACCUACACUGUCGAAGGAACAAACGAGAGACACAGGGGAAGAAACAAAUAAACAAAAAAAAAAUAACACUUUAGACGUCUACAAAGUAAAUUGUAAAGAUAUGACUAAAGUAUAUUUUUAACAAGUUUUGAGAAACUUUAGAUUUUAAACGUAAAUUUAAAAAGCGAAAAAUAUGAAAAAAAACGAUAAAAUUCUUAAUAACUAAAAAUGUGAUCUAAAAGUCGUUGCUACCAAGAGAAGCCUUAUGUCCUUGUUUCAGUUAGUUCGGUUCCAAACCUUCGAGCGGGAGACGCGUUGCAGCGAGAGAUUCCCGCGCAGGAGAGGAAGACUGGACAAAGCGGAAGAAGCAGAAUAAGACGAGCAAAGCAGAAGCGGAGGAGCAGAAGAGCGCAAGAAGAUCGAGAGCCGAACGAGUAGAAGCGGGGUUGCGAAGAAGAAAGUGAUUAGCGAAUUGAUCGCGCGCAUCCGAAGACAGCUAUAAAGAAGAUAGAGGACGGAAAGAUCGAGAGCAGCUACGGAAGCGCCGAGAGACAAAGAUCGGAAGAGAGGAAAAAAUAGAGAGACGGAGACAAAGAGAGAGAGAGAGAGAGAGAGAGCAAGAACAGAGAACCCCGCGCUGCAUACAUAUAUUUCAGUGUGUUCAAAAAACGAGUGUACCUAAGUGCAAUAUUAAUUAAACCUAAACGAUAAUAAGAAGCAACCACAACUACCAUCGACGAUAUCGGUAACGACGAGCGGUGAUCGAUAAUCGAAUAGAAUUCCUUUUAAAACGCUAGAGUCGCAUUUCGAGGAGGAGUCAUCGACGGACGCGACGAAGCCGCUUGUAAGAGGAGAGAAUCGGUCGAGAAGCAGGCGGAAGCAGAAACGGAGUGACGGAAAUCCCGGAGAGAAACGCUCUCGUCCCGCUUAAAAGAAUUCACACGAAUUCAUCGACUCAAAAGCCGACGCGCGCGACAAGCGGACACCAACUUUACGAGCCUGUUCGAGCGCGUACGAGCAUUCACGCACACACACGCACGCACACAUAACACUCACGCACAUCCAACAUAACGGGGCUAAAAUACUCAGGGCAAAACGGGACGAGCGAUAAUCAUCCGCGAGUGCGAUUUCUCACCCCGAAGAGGAGCGGAGGCCCUUCCGACCGAUAAACCGAUUCGCGUCCGCGUGGACUAUCCUUCUCGUUUACACCGUCCGGGCUGGGCAAUCCUGAAUUUUAACCUGAACUUAAGUGUACGCUAGAAUUUAAGUUAGAUAGACGAAGGAAAAUAGACCGUUCUCCCAUCUAUUGGAGAACGUUCGCUCGCGCGCGCAACAACUCACGCAAAAUACACGUAUACACACACACGUAUAUACACACAUACCACACACGACAAACAGAGGAAGGGGGAGAAGAGGAGGAGGAGCAGGAGGAGAAGAAGAAGAAGAAAGAGACGAGAAAAAAAGAAGAGAACGCAAGAGGAGAAAGAGAAAAGAAAUCCAUCGACGAAACCGUGAAAACGCGAACCGCGAACGAACGCAAACGUAUGCGGCAAGACAACGAUCUGCGUACGUAACGAGCCAUCACGAUAAAAGACAGAAGCAUUACGGACGUACAACCACCGAUCGGCGGUGCACUCGUGAGAGGCAUCGCGACCAACAGCAACAGCUACGAUAUAGGGGAGGCGCGAUAGAGAGGGAGAGAGCUGGGAGAGGACCCGGAAGAGGGAGUGGAGAGAUUAUAAGAGGAAAUUUCAUGAGCCAGGCGGUAGGUAGCAGGGCCGGGAAGUCGCAGCAGGUGGCGAGUAACUGACGUUGCCCGCCGCCCACGUCGAAGCUCGGCACGGUGCGAGGAUCGUUAUCGUUACGACGAUCCCGAGGCUGAAAGCAGCGGCCGAGCGAGAAGGAAGAUAGGAAGGAACGGCGGCGAGCGCAGAGGUGUGCCGGCCGUCGAGCUGCUUACCGGAAGGGGUGCGAAAAAGCGGGCAAGCUGCGCCGGAAGGGGGUAGCCCGGGCUUCUCGCGAAGGCCUCAAAAUUUCGGACGCGACGGCGGCCCUGGACCUGCGUGCUCAGACGCAAGCCCAACCAGACUUUGGCCAGCUAGACCACCAGCAGCCGCAGCAUCACCAUCAGCAGCAGCAGCCGCCGCAGCAGCAGCAGCAACCUCAACAACAGCCGCAACAACAACAACAACAACAGCCGCCGCAGCAUCAUCCGCAGCAGAACCAAAAUCCAGAGUCGCGUCCUCACCAUCACUUACAACAGCAACAUCACCAUCAGCAUCACCCGGGGAAUCAUCUCCAC